UUUUAACACAUCAUUGAUUAAAUCUAAAAUUGAUACGUUGGAAAAUUAUGCAAAAAAAAAUCAGUUACAUAAAUUAAGAAGAGAUAAAUUGUUUGAAGUUUUUAAAUUAUCUAAAACGGAAGAAGAUUAUAAAUUGUCGUUGCAUUUAUUAAAUGUAUAUUACAAUUUUGGAAGAAAUUUAAAUACCCAGCAAGAUGUUGAUUUAUUUUUUACAUCCAUUUUGAGGACAAAUCAACUAAAUGAAGCAAAAGAUUUUUUGAAGUAUUUUAACGGGUGGUUAUUAUGUCCUCCUUCAAACAAAUUGAUUUUACUAUGUAUGGAGGAAUUUUUUCGAAAAAAAAAUUUUAUGAAGUCAGGGAAAUUUUUUCUUUUAUUAGACAGAAUAAGUUAUAAUUUAUUAAAAACAAAAAUUUAUCCAAAUGUGCUUUUUAAAUAUAUAUUUAUGUGAAAAACAGGAAAAGAAAUUAUAGUUUUAUUAUGUUCUAUACCCUUUUCUUUAUUCGGUUCUGCUUUUAUUCUGUUCUUGUCCUGAUUUGUUUUGAUUUGUUUUGAUUUGUUUUGAUUUGUUUUGAUUUGUCUUGAUUUGCCUUGAUUUAAUUUUUUUUUUUUUUUUGAUUUAAUUUUUUUUUUUUUUUUUUUGAAUAGCCAAAUAAAGUUAGAAAGUUCUUUUUAUUCCAUAACAAUAAAAUCCAUGCUGAUGAUAAAUAAAGACCCCAUAGAAGAAUCUAUGAUAAUAUAUGAUGAUUCUUAUAAUAUGGGCAUAUAUUUAACAAAUGAAAUACAUAAUUUAUUAUUAGAACAUAAUUUAUAUUACUAUCAUAAUGAGAAAAGCAAAAACAUAGAGAAUAAUAAAAAAUUGGAUUUUUAUAAAGAGAAUAUACAAGGAAUCAUUAUACGACUAACAAAUGAAUUAAUUAAAAAUAGGACAUACGUUAAGUUAUCGUCUAAGAGUUUGAGUUUGUUCGCAUGGGCAUACAUUUAUUUUGACAUAAAACAGAUAAUCGCAAAAUCUGAUAACAGAUUAGUUGAAGUUGAACAUUGUAACACUUGGUUAGACAUAAUAAAACUGGCAUGUUUGUACAACCAGAUAUCCGAAUGUCACACAAGCCCAUUUUCAGUAGAAUUUAAAGAUGUUCUUAGAAAUAUGAAGGAUGAUGAAAAUGCAGUUAAGGCCUUAGAAUAUAUUAGCAUUUACUUUUAGAAAAGAGAAGUAGGAUAUAACAAUAUUCUUGUUUUUUAUUUUUAAACUUGCAAUUUUGAAUAUAUAUACAUAAAAUAAUACCUUGUCUUUACAUUUUUAAAAUAAAUUAAAAAAUUAUACAUAUAAAUGCUUUCCA
rnacentral:lncRNA from 1 species